rnacentral:lncRNA from 1 species
AAAGAAGACUGGCAUAAGCAGAAGAAUUGAGAUGGGCACACUACAUGCCUUUGUUCUAGUAGUGGUCCACUAUUUUGGUGCUACAGUUAUUGAUCUCGAAUGAGUUCAAGGAGCAAGAAUUUAGCCCAGAAAGAAAUAUUACGCUGAACAGCUGUAUCUAGUUAUCAUUUUGCAUAUGCAGCUUUAUAUAACCCUGUCCACACUUGCCUAAAGCACAUGAGUGGCAUCCUGAAAAAAAGAAAUGAGCUUUUGAUAUUGCUUUGGAGAAAAUUCAUCUGUUUCGGCCAAACAGUACAUAUACGUACUGCACAUACCUGCAUUCGCUAUACCUUAUCACCAACUGUUAAGUCACCUUCUUGCCUCAUCAGCAAAUCACUCCUGCACCCAAGUGUGCUGGUCUGGGUUUUACCUGAAUUUCCACCUGUGCAGUUGGUAAAAGUCUGGCUGUUUACUGUAACUUCAUAUUUCAAACAUUUGGCUGCAAAAGAGCCUUUGGCAACACUGGUAACCCUAAUGCCUGGGCAGGCUUCACGAAAGGCCACCAGUACCUCCUCGUUGUAGACUGCUCAACAUUCUUGGUUAGACUGUAACUAAAAACCCAUAUAUCCUUCCUCUGAAGCGGCUGGUAUUGGCAAUGCUUUGAUGCAGAAAGUGGCUAUUGUCACACGUUAGCCUUAGGCCAGAAACCAAUCUGGCACAGGUGGAAAUAGUCUUGUCUUUCCCAUAUGGUGGUUCAGCCUCGCGAGGCACAUUCCUUCAGUCGAUUUGCACACUGUCAAUGUGAGUGAGACUGAUCAAAGGUUGGCUAUGGUUUCAGGUUUCUUGCCUAAUUUCUUUUGUGCCAUCAUGACCAAGUGUUUCCACUCUGUGGGGAAUUCCAAUAUUCCAAAUUUCAUUGAUUACAUGCAAUAGUGCUUGCUUCCUCGUUUCGGCAAGAUUCCUCAACAUCUGCAAAAUGACUCCAUUUUUACCAUGUGCACUUUAAGUGCUGACAUGUUCGAGAGCAACAACAGGUUCUGCCAUCGUAAAGAGGCUUUCCAUUCCUUCCUUUCCAAGUGGUCAGUAAGGUGCGUACAACUCUAGUGACGGUCAGUCACUGUGAAGUGGUCAGGGGAAAGCAUCUGCAGCUUGUUCCUCAAAUUUCUCAUAUGUGCACUGAAUAUCGAGCAGCGUGUUUUCAAUAAUAUUACAGUACUUAAUUCAUCCUGUUAUAGCCGAGAAUGUGUCACAGCUUACCGAGACCUAUACAUUCAAACGACGCGCAUUGGUCCAUCCACUACUCUCUGGCAAAUUUCUUAGCAUGACAUCUUGCCUGCUCAGGCUUGUGCAGAACAUUGAUCAGGGUUUGUUGUGUGCAGCCACAAUUAAGUAUGCAGUAUGUAACCCCAAAGUUGCAGCAGCUGCUUGUGAGGGCUGGAUGCUGCCCCAGUAAACUCUAGUUCACAUGUCGCUCUUUGCAGUGUGCAAAGGAAGCGUGUUGCUAGCAAUUCUUAAACACCUUCACAUUCUGCACACUCAAGUACAUCACGGAAAUGGUUCCAGCCUGAAACCCUGAUUUUGUAAAUGUGGCACAUUUUCACACUGACAUCAAGUGUUAUAUUGGAUAAUGGUCGGUGCCUCUUGGGGCAGAGUCACACUGACAUUCUGAAUGAAGGCCCCAGUUGCCCAUGCUAGGUCUGUGGUGUCUGCUUCGUCAAGGUGGCAUCCUCUUGGCCGUACGUCUUUGCAUCCCCAAUGUGGGUGGUGUGCGUUCAGCUCACCUCGACUGAGUAUUCUGUGCUCAGGAAAGCGAACUUGAAGAUGUCAAAGCCAAGCGAUGUCGCCUCGGCUGCGGUGCCUGGUUUUGGGACAGAG